rnacentral:rRNA from 1 species
CCUACGGGUGGCUGCAGUGGGGAAUAUUGGGCAAUGGAGGAAACUCUGUCCCAGCAACGCCGCGUGAAUGAUGAAGGUCUUCGGAUUGUAAAGUUCUUUUCUAAGGGAAGAAGAAAGUGACGGUACCUUAGGAAUAAGCCUCGGCUAACUACGUGCCAGCAGCCGCGGUAAUACGUAGGAGGCAAGCGUUAUCCGGAUUUACUGGGUGUAAAGGGAGCGCAGGCGGUAUGGCAAGUCAGAUGUGAAAACCCAGGGCCCAACCCUGGGACUGCAUUUGAAACUGCCAUACUGGAGUGCCGGAGAGGUAAGUGGAAUUCCUAGUGUAGCGGUGAAAUGCGUAGAUAUUAGGAGGAACACCAGUGGCGAAGGCGGCUUACUGGACGGUAACUGACGCUGAGGCUCGAAAGCGUGGGGAGCAAACAGGAUUAGAUACCCCUGUAGUC